rnacentral:rRNA from 1 species
AUUGAACGCUGGCGGCAGGCCUAACACAUGCAAGUCGAACGGUAACAGGAAACAGCUUGCUGUUUCGCUGACGAGUGGCGGACGGGUGAGUAAUGUCUGGGAAACUGCCUGAUGGAGGGGGAUAACUACUGGAAACGGUAGCUAAUACCGCAUAACGUCGCAAGACCAAAGAGGGGGACCUUCGGGCCUCUUGCCAUCGGAUGUGCCCAGAUGGGAAUAGCUAGGAGGUGGGGUAACGGCUCACCUAGGCGACGAUCCCUUGCUGGUCUGAGAGGAUGACCAGCCACACUGGAACUUAGACGCGGACCAGACUCCUACGGGAGGCAGCAGUGGGGAAUAUUGCACAAUGGGCGCAAGCCUGAUGCAGCCAUGCCGCGUGUAUGAAGAAGGCCUUCGGGUUGUAAAGUACUUUCAGCGGGGAUGAAGGGAGUAAAGUUAAUACCUUUGCUCAUUGACGUUACCCGCAGAAGAAGCACCGGCUAACUCCGUG